GAAUCUUUUGCAAUGGACGAAAGUCAGACGGAGCAACGCCGCGUGAGUGAUGAAGGUUUUCGGAUCGUAAAGCUCUGUUGUUAGGGAAGAACAAGUACCGUUUGAAUAGGGCGGUACCUUGACGGUACCUAACCAGAAAGCCACGGCUAACUACGUGCCAGCAGCCGCGGUAAUACGUAGGUGGCAAGCGUUGUCCGGAAUUAUUGGGCGUAAAGGGCUCGCAGGCGGUUUCUUAAGUCUGAUGUGAAAGCCCCCGGCUCAACCGGGGAGGGUCAUUGGAAACUGGGGAACUUGAGUGCAGAAGAGGAGAGUGGAAUUCCACGUGUAGCGGUGAAAUGCGUAGAGAUGUGGAGGAACACCAGUGGCGAAGGCGACUCUCUGGUCUGUAACUGACGCUGAGGAGCGAAAGCGUGGGGAGCGAACAGGAUUAGAUACCCUGGUAGUCCACGCCGUAAACGAUGAGUGCUAAGUGUUAGGGGGUUUCCGCCCCUUAGUGCUGCUACGCUAACGCAUUAAGCACUCCGUCUUGGGAGAAUGGGAGGUG
rnacentral:rRNA from 1 species